rnacentral:rRNA from 1 species
UACGAAGGGGGCUAGCGUUGUUCGGAAUCACUGGGCGUAAAGCGCACGUAGGCGGAUUGGUAAGUCGGGGGUGAAAUCCUGAGGCUCAACCUCAGAACUGCCUUCGAUACUGGCAAUCUCGAGUCCGGAAGAGGUUGGUGGAACAGCUAGUGUAGAGGUGAAAUUCGUAGAUAUUAGCUAGAACACCAGUGGCGAAGGCGGCCAACUGGUCCGGCACUGACGCUGAGGUGCGAAAGCGUGGGGAGCAAACAGG